UAGGAUACUUAUGAUUUGUUUACCCAUUUUUCUCCGUUUUCAAAGUCUAUGCUUAAAAUUUCAGAAUCUUCUAGGCUAAUGACGGAAAUCUUAAAGCCGCAGGGCUUCUUAUUUAUAAUUUUUCCCCUGGGCAAUAAGCAUAUCGACAAGUCCCUAUUCGAUUCCGUUCUGCAUUUCUGUUAUCAUACCCGUUACACGCAGUUACAUGAAACAUCCACUAUUUUCCAUUUUAAAUUUCGAUCCCGUUCUAAAUUCGUAUUUUUUAAAUCGCCAUUAGCAAUUCGGGGUGCAUUAGUGGUAACUAUGGCUAGUUUAUUUUUAUGUUGGGAUUGUGGCUAGCUAGCUCCUUAGCUACCUGGAUGAAGAGUAAAAGUAGCCAAAUGCAGUUUGGCUUGCUAGCUAGCUAGCUAGCUACAACAAAAUUUUUAAUCAAUAUUUCUUAUACUAAAUGCAGUUUAGGUAACAACACCUUUAUAAAAACUUACUCAACAAAAUAAAAUUGCUGGAGGAUCUUUUUAGCUAGAGGGCGAAGUUGCAAUAAAUUUUUUAUUUGGAUAAGGGUAUUACGGCUAAACAAAUGUGCAAUACUGUUUACCUGUACUAAGCGCACAGUCCAUUGUUAGAAACAGAUUAUUUCCUGUUGUUUUGUUUAAAUUGAAGCCGUGAUAGGUUUUUGUGAUAGUUUUUUUUGAGGGGUUUGACGCCUAUAUGGAUAUGCAACACGGUUUACCUGUAUUAGCCAACUGUUAACAGUGUGUAUCUUGUGUUAUUACGUAAACCGAAGUUACAUCAAAGUUUUUUUGAAAAGGGUUUUAUGCCAAAACGCAUCGACGACACAGUUUACCUGUACUAACCGCUCAGUCCAAUGUUAAUGAUGGCUGUUUCCUGUGUUUCUGUUUACCGAAGUUACAAAGUUUUUGUAAAAAAAAUGGUAUUAUACCUAUGCGACAUUGUUUGCCUACACUAAUCACUCAGCCCAUAGUAAUAUUUAUUUUCAGGCCAAUCUCUAGGCAAAAUUUACUAAUAUAGUAUAAGUGUAUACCGCUCUUAAUAAUACAUACGCGGUAUAUUUACGAACAUGUUAAUUAAUACACAUACGGUAUAUUUAUUACAUAUAUAACCCAAUAAUACUGAUAUGGUAUAAUUUGUGUCUUAGCAGAAGAGGCAUUUCUAGGCAGCUUGAGAUAUAAGGACCUUUAGUGGUAAAACUAACCUAUUAUUUUUUAAUCCACUUGCUCUUUUCCACUUAUCUUUGUCUGUAUUAUUUGCCAGGUAGUCACGUUGACUUUAUUUGACUAGCUAAGCUAAUCAGUGCUAGGUAAAGCUUCACAUGGGUGCUAGCUAGAGCUACACAUCAGUGCUGGCUAGCUACAUUUCAGUGCUAGCUAGCUUCACAUGCAGUGUGGUAGCUACCUACAUAUCAGUGCUAACUAGUCAAACAUCAAUGCUAGCUAGCUACACACAUCAGUGUUGGCUAGCUACUAGUUUUAGUUAGUCAAGCAAGGUGCACAAUGUACAGUAUUAGUUGCUAUGGUCGUGAAGCUACAACAAAAAUAAAAACAUGUAUAUAUAUACAUAUAACAACUAUGUAUAUAUAGCUAGAAGUAUAUUUCUCUUGUUUCAUGUUAACUACACUUGAGAGGAUGUUAUGUAGGUUUGGUAUACCAAACAAUAUCGAGGAGCCCCAAACCAGAUGUGUGUGUGUUUCCAAUCUAACCCUUAAGAUGUAUCUUGUGGAAAUGACUGCGUCUCUCGUGGAAAUGCUAACUCACCUGGGUGUCCCUUGUGGAAACACCUACGUCUCUUAUUAGAACGCAACCCCUCAGUGAAUCUGGUGGAAACGCUUACACGCAGCAAAUCUCGUGGAAAUGCCUACAUCUCAGCAACUCUCGUGGAAUUGCCUACAUCUCAGCGAAUCUUGUUGGAAAAGUCUACAUCUCAGCAUAUCUCGUGGGGAAGGGGAGACAAUGUCAGGUUCAGUAUCGUUGAGCCUCAAACCAGUAACAAUGAUAGCAAUAAAAAUCUGUGCUGGUUGGAAUUCUGGGCGAAAUCAGUAUGGAUAUUUUCUUUAAAAUAAAACUUGCUGGAUAACAUCGCAUGGUCUGUAAGAUUGAAAUAUAAUAGCAAAAACCAACCAUUGUACAAUGUUUACUAACUUUCAUGCGUGAUAAAAAAUUGUUUAGAAGCUUAUCAGAGCUAAUUGAAACCAUGACUUGUAAUAGAUAUUAAAACAGAGCUUACACAUUGGGAAAAAAUUAUUAUUUGGAUUUGGUGGAUUAUGGUUUUACAUUUUAUUUAUGCGGAAUUCUUUUUAUUGUAAUAUGUUUCCUUAAAUAAUUAUUUUUUAACCAUAUAUAUGUUAGUUAUUACAGUUACACGGUUAUGUACUUUACACCGUCAAAUUUUAACUGUUUCUAUUAUUUAAAAGACAAUGUUUUGUACAUUUUUGUUCUGUUAAACCACGAAAAACAGUAUUUUGAUAUAAACCUAUUGUUUUUGUUUUUUUAAAAUAUUAUUUUUGAUUUUAUAAGAUUUCAGCAGUUACCUAAAAUGGCAUUUGGCCAAAAAGGUUGCAGCAAAAAAGGUAUAGUUGAUAGAUUUCGUUUUUUAGAAUGUACAAGAUCAUUAGUGUCACUAUGUAAUUUAUAUUAUUCAAAUGUUUCUAGAGGUGUCAGGAAUGUGGAGAGGAGAAUGCUCCUGCUAAGAAAAAGUGUCAUAAAUGUCAACAUAUUUUUACUUUAAAGGGUGAUAAACCCAGUGGCAAUAAAUCCUGCAACCUUUUUCGUGCCAAAAAUAAAAUAAAAUUUGUCGUGAGUGUAGUCUGAAGACCUUUUUUAUUUUUAUAUUAGCAAUCGGUAAUUGUAUGUUUUUUUAUUCUUAUUCCCCCAAUAUUAAUGGUAUGUCAACACUGCUGUA